AUGUUGCAAGAAUGAAAUGGAUGUCGUGGACUCUUGACCUCGAGGGUCAGAUCCCUUCAGAGGUGGCUGAGACGAUCCAUACACAUGAAGCAAAAAAUUCCAGCUGGAGUGAACUCAGAGCACUGGGGUGCUUAUUCAUGGUGUUAAAUUGCUCUGUAUGGAUGCCUACAAAGCGGAACAUUCCUCACUGCCUGCACAAGUAAAGCAGGAGCUUCACUUGGCACGAAUGAAUUUUUAAGAGCAGAGAAGCUACUGUCGUAUUCAAUUGGACUCAGCCUGUCUCCACUGCUAUACCAGGGAUGCAAAGUAGCUGCCACUUGGACUGGCUGUGUUGGGACUGAAUCAGAAGAGGAUUGAUUUAGAUACAAGUGGCCCAGCAGGAGCAAGGAGAUGAGGUGCUCUAACUCUUCCAGAGAACAGAAUUAACAU